UAUUAUUUAGCAGGUUUGUUUUUGCAUCCUGGUUGAACCUUCUAGUGUGAGAGGAAAAAACUCCAUCAGGAUCAUAUAUGUGCCUUUGCUGGGACGUGGGGGGCAUAACCUAACAAAUGUGUGGGGUGAAUUGGUUUCCCAAGGGGACGCUACUGAGAAGCUGGCUCACCAAGUCCCGGCCCAGACUGCUUCUGCUCAUUGCGGGCUUGAAGAGGCCUCAGGUGACCCUCAUGCGGAGGAAAAGGAUGAAGCGCACAAAAGUAGCAAAGGCCACGUAAGCGUACCUGCAACCGAAUGCCACAUUUCACUUGAGGUCUUGGCAAAGAGGAUCUCCCCACCGGAGUUAGACAUGGAACACGAAGACAUGGAAGAACUACGUUUUCAAUCUCUGUCAAAGCAACGAACUAAAAGCCAAAGCACACAGAAAAGGGGUUCCGCGUUUUUUGUGAAAACAAGGGAUCGGCAACAGAGAUCUAGACCCCCAGAUUAA
rnacentral:lncRNA from 1 species